rnacentral:rRNA from 1 species
GAGUUUGAUCUUGGCUCAGAUUGAACGCUGGCGGCAUGCCUUACACAUGCAAGUCGAACGGCAGCACGGGAGCUUGCUCCUGGUGGCGAGUGGCGAACGGGUGAGUAAUGCAUCGGAACGUAUCCUGGAGUGGGGGAUAACGUAGCGAAAGUUACGCUAAUAUCGCAUAUUCUGUGAGCAGGAAAGCGGGGGACCUUCGGGCCUCGCGCUCUUGGAGCGGCCGAUGUCGGAUUAGCUAGUUGGUGAGGUAAAGGCUCACCAAGGCGACGAUCCGUAGCAGGUCUGAGAGGAUGAUCUGCCACACUGGAACUGAGACACGGUCCAGACUCCUACGGGAGGCAGCAGUGGGGAAUUUUGGACAAUGGGGGCAACCCUGAUCCAGCCAUGCCGCGUGAGUGAAGAAGGCCUCGGUUGUAAG